UUGGAAUCCGGGUUUCUUUUGCUGCGACGACGGAGGAGGGCGAGCGAGAGGUGGUGUGUCGAUCGCUUCUCCUCCCGGAUUCCUUCGCAAUCCAGAUUUCGGCCGUCACGUUGGACGAGGAGCACUAAGGCCGAUGCGGGAGCCACAAAGACCUACCCGCAGCAGGCUGGGACGAUCCGAAAGAUGGGAUACAUAGUGACCAAGGAGGAUGGCCAUGCGAGGUUUGUGUUCUCUGAUCACAUUGAUCGAAGGAUGUUGUUGAAUGUAAUUUUUCAUGAGCUUCGUGGAUUCUUCUUUUGUUCUCAUUUAUGUGUUGUUUUAAUUCAUCAAUUCAUAGAUUAUUACGGAUUCUUCACUUUCGUCAAUAAAUUUUUCCUCUAGUUGUAACUGUUCGCAGUUGCCUGUGGAUACAUGAUUUAACUUGUUGUAAUCAAAUACCUCUGGUUGCUGAC